UACGUAGGGGGCGAGCGUUGUCCGGAUUUAUUGGGCGUAAAGAGCUCGUAGGCGGUUUGGUAAGUCGGGUGUGAAAUCUCCACGCUCAACGUGGAGGGGCCACUCGAUACUGCCAUGACUCGAGUCCGGUAGAGGAGUGUGGAAUUCCCGGUGUAGCGGUGAAAUGCGUAGAUAUGCGGAGGAACACCGAUGGCGAAGGCAAUCCCCUGGGCCUGCACUGACGCUCAUGCACGAAAGCGUGGGGAGCAAACAGG
rnacentral:rRNA from 1 species